UCCAAUCCCAUUCACGGGAGAUGUCUCUCUCGGCAGAGCUAUUGCCUCUUCCUUUUCAGCUCCAUCACCAUCAAUUCUCCCUCCCUGGCCACCACGGCCUCCGCCGCAACGGAGCGGCGCAUCAACGCUCAUCACCGCCAAUCGGACUUCUCUCCUGCUCUUUCACUCUCGUCUAACGCAUUUGGAGAUUCUUGUUAAGCUCACGAUUUCACGAUCCGCAGGAGACAAGAAUGACAACGCACUCUUUGAAGCUUGGUGCGCGCGUGAGAGCCCGAGGAAUCGAGCGAAGCAACAACACACGCACAGACCGAGAAAUUCAUCGCCUAGCUUCGUCUUCGUGAGAUAGAUUCUCCAAGCCUUUCAGUGUCUUUCAUUUAUUAGCGGGUAGCAAUUCGGAUCUCCCCAAGAUUCCUCUCUAGCAACUUUUAGCUGGGUUUGUCAUGUUAUAUUCCUCGCCAAUUGAUGGGAAUUCCCGUUUGUCUAACACCUCGCCUUCAUGCUCACCACCUGCUCGACGUUUUGCCUCGGAGACGACAAUGAUGAAUUCAUUGAUCAAUUUGAGAUUGCGUGGGAGUGAUUUGUAUGUCAUUGUUCAGUGUACUGAUCAUAUAUUGCGAAUCGAUGCUUCAUCCUUUGACGGCCUAGAGUUCUCCUU